UUUUCAAUUUGCAGUUUCACUCAAGUUGGACUUUGUGUUUUGGAUUCAACCUAAACAGCACUUCUUCUCCUGCCUUCAGAAACAAGUCUUUUUGCAUCAAUUUCUUCAUCGCUUUACACAGGCACUCAGGAUAACGAUGAUCAGAAUAUCUAAGUUGCAGCAGGGAGCCCUGUGAACUUCACAUCAAGGGCCUGGCCUCCUUUGCAGGACUGCUAGAUGUGGGUCACACUCACAGCACCAAGGGGCCAGAGUGAUUGCCAGCCCUUUAAUUCUCCUCUUUCCUUGUAUAUUCUCUCUUCUCCCCCCCAGGCUGGCAUCCUCCCUCUGCCUAGCCAAUAUAGUCCCAUCCCAAGACCUUCUCUCACACGCAGAGGAAGGGGUAGCCAAAAAGGCAGCAAGAGCUGUAAAGCAGAAGUAGAAAUGGCAGAAAAAACUGAAGACCACAAAAUCUUCAAGAAAUAAAGGAUGUUAUCCUGCC